CGCGUCGUGAGAUGUUGGGUUAAGUCCCGCAACGAGCGCAACCCUUGAUUCUAGUUGCCAGCAUUCAGUUGGGCACUCUAGAGUGACUGCCGGCGACAAGUCGGAGGAAGGUGGGGAUGACGUCAAAUCACCAUGCCCCUUAUGACCUGGGCUACACACGUGCUACAAUGGACAGAACAAAGGGCAGCGAAACCGCGAGGUUAAGCCAAUCCCACAAAUCUGUUCUCAGUUCGGAUCGCAGUCUGCAACUCGACUGCGUGAAGCUGGAAUCGCUAGUAAUCGCGGAUCAGCAUGCCGCGGUGAAUACGUUCCCGGGCCUUGUACACACCGCCCGUCACACCACGAGAGCUUGUAACACCCGAAGUCGGUGAGGUAACCUUUUAGGAGCCAGCCGCCGAAGGUGGGACAGAUGAUUGGGGU
rnacentral:rRNA from 1 species